AACGAACGCUGGCGGCAUGCCUAACACAUGCAAGUCGAACGAGGACUUCGGGUUUGGUGUCUCACGGGUUCGUGACGCGUGGGGACCCGCGCUUGGGUUCGGACUAAGUCCCCGGAAGGGGUGCUAAUACCGGAUACUGUCUCCGGACCAAAGAUUUAUCGCCUUUGGAUGGGACCGCGUUGGAUUUGCUGUUUGGUAGGGUAAAAGCCUACCAAGGCGACGUGCCAUAGCUGGGCUGAGAGGAUGAUCAGCCACACCUGAACUGCGACACGGCCCACACUCGUACGCGAGGGAGCAGUGGGGAAUAUUGGACAAGGAGCGCAAGUCUAGUCCAGCAAUGCCGGGUAAGUGAUGAAGGGCUUAGUGUUGUAAUGCUAUCAUAGCCGGGAUGAUAAUGACAGUACCGGGAGAAUAGGCUCCGGCUAACUCCGUG
rnacentral:rRNA from 1 species